rnacentral:rRNA from 1 species
GAUGAACGCUGGCGGCGUGCCUAAUACAUGCAAGUCGAGCGAACAGAUGAGGAGCUUGCUCCUCUGACGUUAGCGGCGGACGGGUGAGUAACACGUGGAUAACCUACCUAUAAGACUGGGAUAACUUCGGGAAACCGGAGCUAAUACCGGAUAAUAUAUUGAACCGCAUGGUUCAAUAGUGAAAGACGGUUUUGCUGUCACUUAUAGAUGGAUCCGCGCCGCAUUAGCUAGUUGGUAAGGUAACGGCUUACCAAGGCAACGAUGCGUAGCCGACCUGAGAGGGUGAUCGGCCACACUAGAACUGAGACACGGUCCCGACUCCUACGGGAGGCAGCAGUAGGGAAUCUUCCGCAAUGGGCGAAAGCCUGACGGAGCAACGCCGCGUGAGUGAUGAAGGUCUUCGGAUCGUAAAACUCUGUUAUUAGGGGAGAACAAAUGUGUAAGUAACUAUGCACGUCUUGACGGUACCUAAUCAGAAAGCCACGGCUAACUACGUG